UCAUCGAUAUCAGUUUAGGUGAGCUAUUUUCAUUGGAUCUAUUUAUUUCUGUAUUAAGAAGCUGUUACUCGGGCUGGUGCAAUUGUAAAAGCUUGAUCAACUUAACACAAUGUGAUAAAGUUACUUGUGUAUCAUCUAGUGCAGUGUUUUUAAAGGCUCAAGGUGCACUAAGACGCUGGAGGUCUCUCGGGGCCUAGGCGCAAGGCUCAAGGCGAGACGCAGGCUUUAUUGAAGAAUGGCCUAUUUGCGUGAGUUAUGGAGCUAUGGCCGGGUAUAUGGUUGGAAUGGUGGCAUCUUUCUGUUUUGUACUACAAUGCAGUGAGCAGCGGCAUGUCAAAGCAGAAUAGUUGGCUAAAUAUAUUUUCAAGAUUCUGUUACUUUGGAUUUGGAAAUUUGUUCCUUUUCUUCUCCUUCGUCUUUUAUUUUUAUUUUUUUGCUAGGCUUCCAAGAUUUAUCCACUUGACCUACAGUUGCAUGGAUUUUUGUCGAGCAUUUUGGUUUUGAUGUUAAUCUUAGUUUCAGAAUUUAAUCUUUCGGUAACUUUCAUUGUACUUCAACACCGAUUAAUUUUCAGUAGAAAAUUUUGUUUGAUGAUCA